rnacentral:lncRNA from 9 species
CUCUAAUACUUUUCAAGUUUCAAUGUCUUUUACAUCCCUCCAUGUAGCCCCCCCCCCAAUUCCUGCUAUACAUGAUUUCAGAUCAUCUCUUGAAUAUCGAGAAAUGAAAAACUUGCCUCAAAUUGGCUUAUACAAUAUAGGGAUUUAUUUGAUCCUGACUUAAGGGGAAAAAAAGCCAUUAUCGGUUUGAGCUUCAGGCACGGCUUGAUCCAGCAGCUCAACAAUUUCCCCAAGGACCCAAUUUCUUUCUAUCUGACUCUCAUGGUUCCAAGAUGAUUGCCAGCAACUCUUGGGCUUCGUGCUUCUUUGUUCAUGUCUCUAAAGAUAGAAUGUCUUUGCCUCAGCAUUCCUAACCCAUCUUCAUCUUGAUUAGACUUGUUUAUGUCAUCUGUUUACCCUUGCACCAAUCCCUGUGGCCAAGGGGAUGUACCACUACAAGGUUUCUCCUUACACUAAAAGUUUCCCCCAUAAUUGAAUGGACACCUGAAUGGAUAUUGGGACAAUUGGAAAGAAGGAAGGGGGUCUAGAACCUAAGGAAGCAUUCAGCGUUUUUCACACCAUAUACCCUGCAACUUCACAUUUCCAUGCCUACCCCCAACCAGACCCCGCCCUCACUGCUGCUUCCUGGAAUGUACCAUUUGCUUCUGUUGACCAGAGUCCUACUACACAUGCUUCAAAGCCUUGCUCAAGUGCUACCUCUGCUGCUGUAUCUCUUCAGUUUUCCUGGACCUGGCAGGUGAAGGUGCCUCUGAGUGGAGCAGGUAGAGGUGGCGAAGGAAACUGGACGGAUGGUGUGGAGGAAUGUGGGGCGGGGAGCGGGCCAGUGGAAGGACCUCUGGGCCUUGUUCAGGACGGUUCGCCCCAAGAGAGUCUUCCUUCAGGUUGGCGCUUGUGGCAGAGCCCAGAGCACCGCGGAGUGUGGCGUCCUGCCCGAGGCUCUGUCUCCGUGCAGUCCUCACAACCCGAGGGAAUCAAGCCAUUUUACUGGCUCCAUGAAAUGGAAAUGAGAAACCCAAGUGCAUGUCUGCUAAGAUACAAUAAGCCAGAAACGGCCUAUGAGAAAGCAGCUGGUCAGUGGAGGGCUCUCCUGGUAAGAACUCCCCGUCCCCGGAUGACACGGGGGAGGAGAAGGGGGUGUCCAUUGAAGCGGAAAACCCAAGUCUCCUGAAAGGAGGCAGCAGUGCAGCAGGGGUUGAAGCCUCUGAUCUGGAGGCUCACUCCUUCCUUCACCGCUAAGCCCACUUGGCCUGCUUCCAGAGGCUACCAGCCUGGGAGAGCAGAGGACAAAGCCUUUGCUCUGGCAGAGGCGACCUUGCACGAGCCAGCCCUGGGCAGGUGGAUUCUUCCACUGAGAAGAGUUAGGGGAGGGGCCGGGAUGUGGGCCCGGUGGAUGGAGUCUGGUAAUUACUGAGCACCCCCUGCCUGUAUUCCCUGUGAAGCGCUACAUAAACAAUCAGUUGAAAAAGACGGUCCCCUUUGCAGAGUCGUUACCACCGGGUGUUUUCAAAAGCAGUUUAAACCCUGGCAAACAUAAAGGAAAGCUUUUAUCCCUUCUCUAACCACUGAAAGGAAGCAGAGGAUUUAAAAACCAUAUGAAUGGCGAGGAAUAGAGCCAGAGAGACAGACAAGAUGGAGGGAAGGGUGAGAUGGAUGAUGAAAAUGUGGGAGCCGAUGGGGAGAGUGGGC